AUCCAGAUGACGAGUCCUAAAUUGGGAAGAAACGUGUGUCCUGGAU
rnacentral:hammerhead_ribozyme from 1 species